CAGUAGCCGCGGUAAUACGUAGGGUGCAAGCGUUAAUCGGAAUUACUGGGCGUAAAGCGUGCGCAGGCGGUUUGUUAAGACAGAUGUAAAAUCCCCGGGCUCAACCUGGGAACUGCAUUUGUGACUGGCAAGCUAGAGUCUGGCAGAGGGGGGUGGAAUUCCGCGUGUAGCAGUGAAAUGCGUAGAUAUGCGGAGGAACACCGAUGGCGAAGGCAGCCCCCUGGGCCAACACUGACGCUCAUGCACGAAAGCGUGGGGAGCAAACAGGAUUAGAUACCCGUGUAGUCCCUGUCUCUUAUAC
rnacentral:rRNA from 1 species